GGCUAAAUUUUCCGUAGUGUGUGUGUGAAUGAGUGUGUGUGUAUGUUUCCCAGAGAUGGGUUGUGGCUGGAAGGGCAUCCGCUGCGUAAAUAUAUGCUGGAUAAGUUGGCGGUUCAUUCCGCUGUGGCGACCCCGGAUUAAUAGAGGGACUAAGCCGGAAAAUGAAUGAAUGAAUGAAUUAUUAGUGGUGGCACGGUGGCUCAGUGGUUAUCACUGUCAAGAAGGCCACUAGU
rnacentral:misc_RNA from 1 species